UUAGUUAAAUAUUUUCUGAAGUUUAUAAUCAUCAAAGUCCAAUAUUUACACCCACUUCCUCCCUAGGUCUUAGGCAACACUCAGUAAAAUAAAUUCCUUAUCACAGGCUAUGAGGUUUAUACCUUGAGAAGUACAACAUGAAAAUGAAAGCAGGGGAAAAUGGAGAUGCAUGAUGAACGCUCAAUGUUUGUGAGCUGAUACUACUCAGAAAAGAACUGGAAUCCAUUUCAAGCCUAGGAGGAAAUUCAACCUGGACUAUCUUUUUCUUUCAAGAAAAUUAACAAAGAACCAAAGGAGCCCUUUAUCUACCGAGUGCAGACUUCAUUAAUUAAUCCUUUUUAUCUAUGACAGUUAAAGGUAAAUCUAGAAUAUUCUGUCCCCUUGAAAUGAUUUCUAGUU
rnacentral:lncRNA from 1 species